rnacentral:rRNA from 1 species
AUGUGGGAAGGCCCAGACAGCCAGGAUGUUGGCUUAGAAGCAGCCAUCAUUUAAAGAAAGCGUAAUAGCUCACUGGUCGAGUCGGCCUGCGCGGAAGAUGUAACGGGGCUAAACUAUGCACCGAAGCUGCGGCAGCGACACUAUGUGUUGUUGGGUAGGGGAGCGUUCUGUAAGCCUGUGAAGGUGUGUCGUGAGGCAUGCUGGAGGUAUCAGAAGUGCGAAUGCUGACAUAAGUAACGAUAAAGCGGGUGAAAAGCCCGCUCGCCGGAAGACCAAGGGUUCCUGUCCAACGUUAAUCGGGGCAGGGUGAGUCGACCCCUAAGGCGAGGCCGAAAGGCGUAGUCGAUGGGAAACGGGUUAAUAUUCCCGUACUUGGUGUUACUGCGAAGGGGGGACGGAGAAGGCUAUGUUGGCCGGGCGACGGUUGUCCCGGUUUAAGCGUGUAGGUGUGUGUUCCAGGUAAAUCCGGUUCACUUUAACACUGAGGCGUGAUGACGAGGCACUACGGUGCUGAAGCAACAAAUGCCCUGCUUCCAGGAAAAGCCUCUAAGCAUCAGGUAACAUCAAAUCGUACCCCAAACCGACACAGGUGGUCAGGUAGAGAAUACCAAGGCGCUUGAGAGAACUCGGGUGAAGGAACUAGGCAAAAUGGUGCCGUAACUUCGGGAGAAGGCACGCUGACACGUAGGUGAAGUGAUUUACUCAUGGAGCUGAAGUCAGUCGAAGAUACCAGCUGGCUGCAACUGUUUAUUAAAAACACAGCACUGUGCAAACACGAAAGUGGACGUAUACGGUGUGACGCCUGCCCGGUGCCGGAAGGUUAAUUGAUGGGGUCAGCGCAAGCGAAGCUCCUGAUCGAAGCCCCGGUAAACGGCGGCCGUAACUAUAACGGUCCUAAGGUAGCGAAAUUCCUUGUCGGGUAAGUUCCGACCUGCACGAAUGGCGUAAUGAUGGCCAGGCUGUCUCCACCCGAGACUCAGUGAAAUUGAACUCGCUGUGAAGAUGCAGUGUACCCGCGGCAAGACGGAAAGACCCCGUGAACCUUUACUAUAGCUUGACACUGAACAUUGAGCCUUGAUGUGUAGGAUAGGUGGGAGGCUUUGAAGUGUGGACGCCAGUCUGC